UCCGGGGCGGCGCGGGAGGCGCGGGGCGGCGCGGGGAGCCGGGCCGGGCUCGGGGCGCGCAGCGUUGGCCGCGUGCGCCCCCGGCUCCCCCGCGCGCCGCAGCCAAUCGUCGGAGGGUGCCCGCGCCCCGCGUCCUGCUCACCUCGCGCCAAUCACCCCGCCCCGCCCCCGCCCCCCCGCCCCUCGCGCCCCUCCCCCGCCGCACACCCGCACACACACAAACAGCGCGGGGGAGGGGGCGGCCGCGCACACGGGCUCCCGGCUCCCUCCCUCCGCCCUCGCACACGGCGACGGGAGACGGACCGAGAGCACCGCGCCGGGAGAGACCGCCGAGAGCCGCCCCGGCUCCCACACACACACUCGCCCCGGCGCCGCGCCCCCCCCACCUCCUCCUCUCCGCCCCCACCACUAACACCAUCUUCUCCUCCUCCUCCUCUCUGCAACAAGAAAAAAAAAGCCAUUUACAGGGGUGAUGUGCAACUAAUUAAAGGCAGACUGGCAGCGUCUGCAAAUUCUAAGGCUCCCCAAAUAAAAAGAGACUGUGGUGCCGGCCGGAGGAUCAUGCCCGGGACGACGCAGCCGGGGACGUCGCCGUCGGUGGACAGGCGCCCCCGGGAGGAAUAAAGCGGCCUCACCUGGCGGCGCCGGCCCGCGGCCCGCCGCUCCAGCGCCCCCGCGCGCGGCCCCCGCCC